rnacentral:rRNA from 1 species
GACGAACGCUGGCGGCGUGCUUAACACAUGCAAGUCGAGCGAUGAAGCACCUUCGGGUGUGGAUUAGCGGCGAACGGGUGAGGAACACGUGAAGAAUCUGCCUUCAACUCUGGGAUAACUCCGGGAAACCGGGGCUAAUACCGGAUAUGAGCCUUGGCCGCAUGGCCGGGGCUGGAAAGUUUUUCGGUUGAAGAUGACUUCGCGGCCUAUCAGCUUGUUGGUGAGGUAAUGGCUCACCAAGGCGACGAAGGGUAGCCGGCCUGAGAGGGCGACCGGCCACACUGGGACUGAGACACGGCCCAGACUCCUACGGGAGGCAGCAGUGGGGAAUAUUGGGCAAUGGAGGAAACUCUGACCCAGCGACGCCGCGUGAGGGAUGAAGGCCUUCGGGUUGUAAACCUCUUUCAGUAGGGAAGAAGCGAAAGUGACGGUACCUACAGAAGAAGCACCGGCUAACUAUGUGCCAGCCGCCGCAGUAAAAC